rnacentral:rRNA from 1 species
AUUGAACGCUGGCGGCAGGCCUAACACAUGCAAGUCGAACGGUAACAGGAAGAAGCUUGCUUCCUUGCUGACGAGUGGCGGACGGGUGAGUAAUGUCUGGGAAACUGCCUGGUGGAGGGGGAUAACGACGGGAAACGGUAGCUAAUACCGCAUAACGUCGCAGGACCAAAGAGGGGGACCUUCGGGCCUCUUGCCAUCGGAUGUGCCCAGGUGGGAUUAGCUAGUAGGUGGGGUAACGGCCCACCUAGGCGACGAUCCCUAGCUGGUCUGAGAGGAUGACCAGCCACACUGGAACUGAGACACGGUCCAGACUCCUACGGGAGGCAGCAGUGGGGAAUAUUGCACAAUGGGCGCAAGCCUGAUGCAGCCAUGCCGCGUGUAUGAAGAAGGCCUUCGGGUUGUAAAGUACUUUCAGCGGGGAGGAAGGGAGUAAAGUUAAUACCUUGACUCAUUGACGUUACCCGCAGAAGAAGCACCGGCUAACUCCGUG